UACGGGGGGGCAAGCGUUGUUCGGAAUUACUGGGCGUAAAGGGCUCGUAGGCGGCCAACUAAGUCAGACGUGAAAUCCCUCGGCUUAACCGGGGAACUGCGUCUGAUACUGGAUGGCUAGAGGUUGGGAGAGGGAUGCGGAAUUCCAGGUGUAGCGGUGAAAUGCGUAGAUAUCUGGAGGAACACCGAUGGCGAAGGCGGCUCACUGGUCCGGUACUGACGCUGAGGUGCGAAAGCGUGGGGAGCAAACAGG
rnacentral:rRNA from 1 species